rnacentral:rRNA from 1 species
GAUGAACGCUGGCGGCGUGCCUAAUACAUGCAAGUCGAGCGAAUGGAUUAAGAGCUUGCUCUUAUGAAGUUAGCGGCGGACGGGUGAGUAACACGUGGGUAACCUGCCCAUAAGACUGGGAUAACUCCGGGAAACCGGGGCUAAUACCGGAUAACAUUUUGAACCGCAUGGUUCGAAAUUGAAAGGCGGCUUCGGCUGUCACUUAUGGAUGGACCCGCGUCGCAUUAGCUAGUUGGUGAGGUAACGGCUCACCAAGGCAACGAUGCGUAGCCGACGUGAGAGGGUGAUCGGCCACACUGUGACUGAGACACGGCCCAGACUCCUACGGGAGGCAGCAGUAGGGAAUCUUCCGCAAUGGACGAAAGUCUGACGGAGCAACGCCGCGUGAGUGAUGAAGGCUUUCGGGUCGUAAAACUCUGUUGUUAGGGAAGAACAAGUGCUAGUUGAAUAAGCUGACACCUUGACGGUACCUAACCAGAAAGCCACGGCUAACUACGUGCCAGCCGCCGCGGUAA